CCUACGGGCGGCAGCAGUGGGGAAUAUUGGACAAUGGGGGGAACCCUGAUCCAGCCAUGCCGCGUGUGUGAAGAAGGCCCUCGGGUUGUGAAGCACUUUCAGUGAGGAAGAACGCCUGGUGGUUAAUACCCAUCAGGAAAGACAUCACUCACAGAAGAAGCACCGGCUAACUCCGUGCCAGCAGCCGCGGUAAUACGGAGGGUGCGAGCGUUAAUCGGAAUUACUGGGCGUAAAGCGCGCGUAGGUGGCUUGAUAAGCCGGUUGUGAAAGCCCCGGGCUCAACCUGGGAACGGCAUCCGGAACUGUCAAGCUAGAGUGCAGGAGAGGAAGGUAGAAUUCCCGGUGUAGCGGUGAAAUGCGUAGAGAUCGGGAGGAAUACCAGUGGCGAAGGCGGCCUUCUGGACUGACACUGACACUGAGGUGCGAAAGCGUGGGUAGCAAACAGGAUUAGAUACCCUAGUAGUC
rnacentral:rRNA from 1 species